rnacentral:siRNA from 1 species
CUGAACCCUCAUUUUGCGCCGAUU